CAGUAGCCGCGGUAAUACGUAGGGUGCAAGCGUUGUCCGGAAUUAUUGGGCGUAAAGAGCGUGUAGGCGGCUCGACAAGUCCGCUGUGAAAGUCCAGGGCUCAACCCUGGAAUGCCGGUGGAUACUGUCGAGCUAGAGUCCGGAAGGGGCGAGUGGAACUCCUGGUGUAGCGGUGAAAUGCGCAGAUAUCAGGAAGAACACCAAUGGCGAAGGCAGCUCGCUGGGACGUGACUGACGCUGAGACGCGAAAGCGUGGGGAGCGAACAGGAUUAGAUACCCGUGUAGUCCCUGUCUCUUAUAC
rnacentral:rRNA from 1 species